GAAAGUACCCGAUAAAGCUUGGAUGAGUUUAGAUCGGUUUUCGAAAGAAUACGGCGAAGGGUUAACAGCUUUCACAAAUUUCGCCAUUUCGAAUUCGACUCACCCAGAAGGUUAUUUACCAUGUCCAUGCUCGUCCUGCACGAAUAGUGAAGUGAUUCCUAUAAAGGAGAUGAGAAAGCAUGUUUUCAUAAAUGGUUGGUUGAAACAUUACGAUGUUUGGACACGUCAC
rnacentral:lncRNA from 1 species